rnacentral:hammerhead_ribozyme from 1 species
AUCCAGCUGAUGAGUUCUAAAUAGGAAGAAACGCGCAUCCUAGAU